AUGUGUAUACCUAAAGAGAUGGGUGGUAUUGGAUUCCGUGAUCUACACUGUUUUAAUUUGUCCCUUCUCGCAAAGCAAUGUUGGAGGCUCUUGAGUGAGCCAGAUUCGUUAUGUGCCAGAAUUUUAAGAGCAAAAUAUUUUCCAGGGGGCAACCUCCUUACGUGUAGCUUAAAGAAGGGCAGCUCUUACACCUGGCAGAGCAUUUGGAGUGGUAUUCAGACCUUCAAGAGAGGUCAUAUAUGGAGAGUAGGAGAUGGGUCUCAAAUAAAUAUAUGGGAGGACUCUUGGGUACCAAGCAGCCCCACUCGGAAAGUCAUGACACCAAGGGCGAACAUUGUAAUUACCAAGGUGUCGGAACUCAUCGAUGCGGAUAAUAGAGCUUGGGAUGAACAAUUAAUUAAUGAUCUAUUUUGGCCAAUUGAUGCACAACGUAUCCUCAACAUUCCUUUGGCUUUAGGGAUGAUGGAUGAUUUUGUUUCCUGGCAUUUUAAUAGAAGCGGAAAUUUUACGGUGAGGUCA
rnacentral:rRNA from 1 species